rnacentral:misc_RNA from 1 species
CUUAGCUGUUGUAACUCGUGUAUCCACAACCUUCUCAACUCAUCUAUUGAUUAUCAUUUGAUAAAAUUCGCAAACUUUACCACAUAAAACACCACAUAAAAAUUCCCUUACGCUUCAAUUAAUAAGUUCUUUCUAGUGAUUAUUACAUUUGGCAUUUUCAUCCUUAAAAUCACAAUGGAUUCGCUGUGUUCGAUACCGGCCUUCUAUUCCGGAAAAAGCGUUUUCAUUACUGGUGCUACGGGGUUUUUAGGAAAAUCAUUAAUAGAAAAACUGUUGAGGUCGUGUCCUGAUAUAAAAGAGAUAUUUCUGUUAAUGCGCCCGAAGAAAGACGUGAAUAUAGAAGAACGCCUCCGAAAGCUGCUGACCAACCCGUUGUUUCAUACAUUGCGGCGUGAGCAACCCCAUUGUUUCGACAAAUUGAUUCCCGUAAAAGGUGACAUUGCUAUUGAGAAUCUGGAUUUGUCAGACACCGAUAGAAACAUGCUAAUCCAGAAGACGUCUGUAAUAUUCCAUAUAGCGGCGAACGUGAGAUUCGAUAUUACUCUGAGAAUGUCGGUGCUCCAGAACGUAAAAGCUACAAGAGAUAUAUGUAUUUUAGGUGAACAUAUGAAGAAUCUAGUGGCUCUCGUAUAUGUCAGCACGGUAUACUCACAACUCGACAAACACGUUAUUGAUGAAAUCGUGUAUCCAGCGGAAGUCGAUUGGAAGAAAAUGAUUCAAGUCGUCGAGACUUUGGACGAACAACUGUUGGAAGUGUUUAAGUCAAAGUACACGGGCUGUAUGCCGAAUAGCUACGUAUUUUCCAAGAAACUCGCCGAGCAAGUGAUAGUCGAUUACUCUGAGUCGUUGCCGUGUGUAAUUUUGAGGCCAUCCAUAGUUGUAGCAACGUUGAGCGAACCGGUAAAAGGAUGGAUGGACAAUUUUAAUGGACCGGUAGCACUUUUCAUCGGCGUUGGAAAAGGACUAUUAAAGUUAAUAUAUGCAGAUAAAAACAUACAGAAUAACUUCGUACCGGUUGAUACCUUCAGCAAAUCUGCCAUUGUUGCAUCAUGGAAAUGUGGAGUGAGAAAGACAAACAUGAGGAUCAAUCUUCCACUUGUAUACAAUUGCGUGACAUCUCAUUAUAUAUGUCCAAAAUAUGAAGACCUAGUAAGUUUCUGCCUGAAUUGUCUAAAAAGAAUUCCUGUGGAAAAUCCACUUUGGUAUCCUCAAGUGUAUUCAUAAAGAACCUGUACAUCUACAACCUAUUGUUUAUAUUGUUCCAAAUAAUACCUUUCUGGUUCAUUGAUGAGCUCCUACGAUUAUCAGGCAGACAACCAAGGUUGAUGGCAUUGCAGAGGAAAAUUUUUAUAAAUAAUUGCAUUUUGGCACAUUUCACACUAAACAAUUGGGAUAUACGAAAUGAAAGUGCGAUAAGUCUGUCUGAUGAAAUACUAAACGAUCAACAAGAAUUUGAAUAUGGAACGGUCC